UUCAAAUGUGCAUAAGUGGAUGUGUACGUUUUGCUAUAUAAUUAAUAAGUGAUAAACUGAAUUAGACAGACAGCCAAGAUGCGAGGAAGGGAGUUAGUCGAUAUAUUUCUAUUUGUGAUCGGUAUGGAUGGAAUGUUGUUGCCUUCCAGCUCCAAGCAUUUUCCAUAUUUCCAAGAGGAGUUCAGAUUUAAAGAUAUCAUCCGGUUUGUACAUAGCAAUCAAAGUUGUGAUUUUUUUCUACAAGAAAUUCCAUCACUAAUUCGACAAGACAAAUCUGCAUACCAUCAAAAUGAGGAGACUUGCAUACUUCUCACUUCGUUCGACCAUUUGUCAUCAAACGAAAGUCUUCGGCUUAGCGGUGUUGUUGUGAGGCUUUAUGCCAAUGUCAAGAAAUAUGAAUUUUCUGUGAUGUCUAACCAAUGCAAAGGAAACAGCUCAUUCAACGGAAUUCAAAUUCAUGCCUCAUGUCAACUUACAAAAGCACAUAGCGGAAAUAUAUGCGAAGAUGGAAUAGGCUGCAACACUGAAAAAGAAUUCUGCAGAAAGCUAUUUCAGGAUGAAAGUGAAAAAGGACUUUGUAUUGCAAGGCGCAAUCUUUUUGAAUCCUGUGACAAAGAAAUGCCGUGUACACAAACCACUAAAUGCAAAAAUAGGAUCUGCCAUUGCAAGAAAGGAUUUAAAGUAAUCGGUGGUACAUGCUUGCCUGUUGGGAUGUCUUUGAACGAAUCAUGCUCUCACGACCGUCAGUGCACCGGUACUGCAAACGCUGGGAGGUGUCAACAGAAAAAACAUAUACCAGAUCGUAGUGUCUGUUCCUGCAACCCAGGGUUCUUUCAAAAUGGUUCCAAUUGUUUACAAGGUAAACGACGCCUUUUCCAAACUUGUGAAUCACACAAACAAUGUACAGGAAGUUACGGGGCACGGGAGUGUAAGGUCAUCGCUGGUAUACAAAUGUGUCACUGUCCGGAUAAUCACACAGUCUUUCGAGACGUUUGUAUAAAAGUUGGGUCAGUCAUAGGGGAGUCGUGUACAGUGCAUGAAGAAUGCACCGGUACAAAAAAUGGCGGGAGAUGUGUCUACAGUGAGGGCAACGGUACAAAGUCUCAAACAUGUGCCUGCAAUGAGGGAUUUCUGAAAAAUGCUUCAUUUUGUUUACCAGUUAACAAAAAGCUUUUUGAGACUUGCGAAGUAAAUGAUCAGUGCAAUGGAACGUUGGGUUUGGGGAUAUGCAGAACAGUUGGUGAUAGAAAGGUGUGUGUCUGUGGAUCUCAAUACAUAGAGAACAUGGCUUCCUUAACAUGUCACAAAGUUGGGAAGGAUAUAUUUGAGACGUGCACACUGAAUGCCCAAUGCACUAGGACGAAAAAUGCAGAUGUGUGCAAAUACAAAACAGAGACACAAGCUAACAGCUGUGCUUGCAGGGAUGGAUUUGAAUGGGUGAAUGCAUCAUGUGUACCAAUUGGUAGACAGUUACUUGAAACCUGUGAGUAUGAUUUGCAAUGUAACGGGACUGCAAAUGCAACUGUGUGUGGAUUAUUUGGAAACCGAUCACUAUGCUUUUGCGAUAAAGGCAUGCUUGAUUUUAAUGGGGCGUGUAUCGAAGCUGGUAAAUACCUUGGUGAAUCAUGUGAAAUUGACAGACAGUGUACAGAAACACUAUAUGCUGGUGUUUGUGGUGAAAAUAGUUCGUGUUCCUGCGAUAACGGGUUCAUCAGAGAAGACAAAGACUGUAUUAGAGUUGGUAGACAGUUACUUGAAUCCUGUGAGUAUGAUUUGCAAUGUAGCGGGACUACGAAUGCAACUGUGUGUGGAUUGUUUGGAAACAGAUCACUAUGCUUUUGCAAUGAAGGCAUGCUUGAGUUUAAUGGGACGUGUAUCGCAGCUGGUAAAGGUCUUGGUGAACCAUGUGAAAUUGACAGACAGUGUACAGAAACACUACAUGCUGGUGUUUGUGGUGAAAAUAGUUCGUGUUCCUGCGAUAGCGGCUUCAUCACAGAAGAUAAGGGCUGUAUCAGAGGUGGAUGGAAUCAAGAUAUGAUAUAUCAAUUCAUGUUGUUCGGAGCAGGCGGACUUCUGUUUGGAAUAUUUUGUUUGAUUGGUAUAAUUAUAUGUAAAUGUAGAAGAAACCCAUUAUUCAAAAGUGGAAGGUUUGUGGUACAGACAGAUUAAGAACCCAGCAACCGUCAAUCCAUUCUGUAUGCCGUGCCCAGCGAUAUUGGGAAUCAUGUGGGACCUUCAACGCCUGUUCACAAAGAGACCCAGAGAGUAGCAAAUUACUCGUACAAUCACCUCCACGAACCAGUGGAACAGAAAAAAGACAAUGUGUAUUCUGAGGAAGACUCUUGUGAUGACGUGUACAACCACCUACAUGAAAAGGAUGCACCAUUGUGUGAAGGCGUGUAUGACGUCACAGGAAAUGUCUUUAAUGACAUGAAACACAGUUAUGAUGAUAACCCUGAAUCUGUUGGUUUCUAUGAUUUUGCUGAACCUAUAAAUGCUAACAUGUGUUAAAGAUACAGCAGGUGCACGCGUAAAGCUUUUUAUAUUCUUUAAAUUGUUGAUAUUCAAAUCACAAAGAUUAUGUACCAAUGUAUUAGAACGUGUUGCUUUAAUCAGGAAGACAAUUUGAUUUUGGCAGUUCUUCAACUGUUGGAAUGUGAAAAAUAUAUAUAUAUAUAUUAGUUUUACGAUUUCUCGAAUAUCAAAGGUGAAUAUUGAAGCAGACUAGAUCACCACACUUAGUUUUCAGGGACGAAGGUUGAUGCAUGUAAACGUACCACCACAUAUCAUUCACAGUUGAUAUCAAUGAAUGCAGUGAUCUUUUUUCAAAACCCUUACAAUGCAAUUGUAUCAUUUGAACAAGAGUUCUAACUACAAAGGUCCGUCUGCUUUAGUGAGUGUAAAUUUCAAGUAUAAAUAUACAAGAGUUCUUUACUCAAAGAUCAGCACAUGAAUUUUAUAAACGUGUAUCAUAGUGAUUAUCUGGUGUGUUUAUACUGUGGUCUAGUAGUUAUCCUGUCAUAAACCCCCUAAUCCUAAAUUUGAACAAUGCACAGUACAUUGUUAAGUUCGAUAUUGUUUGAUGAAUGUAUAUACCUGUUGAAGAUGUAACCAUGUUCUAUGGAAGAUGAAUUGUUUACGGGUUAUAAUGUUUCAUGCAGAAGUAAGCAAUUGCUUCUUUUUCUCAUUAAUAUCCGACUGUGAUAAAGUUCUGCUCAAUGACGUAUAUUUCACAUAACCUCGAUACUAAAUAGUAGAUGUAUGAUGUCACACAUUUGGACACUUUGCAAAAAUAUGUCUGUCUAAAGUUUUCAUGUGAUCAUCAUAUCUUAUGAAAACUGUGAUUUUUUAGGAUUGCACAUUCACAUAUGAUGAACUAUACCUGUAUUUUUAUUUAUUCGUGAAUUUAACUUUUAUAAUUCUGAUUCAUGCAAAGUUGUUGAUGUUCUUGCAUGGAAAGUGAAUAUAAUGAGCAGUGAUCAAUGUCAAAACUCCCAUAAAUAAUACAAAAUUAAGAGUAGGGUAAACACGAACCCCUAUAUACACCAGACGUGGGAUCAGGAGCCCAGGAGGAAGAAGGAUCACCUGUUGAUUAAUCACACCUGCCGUGAGCGCUAUAUCGUGACAAGGUAAAUGGAAUAAUCUGUAUUAAAAAUCAGUAUGCAAUAACGGUCAACGAAUUAGUUUGAAACACGUCAGACAUCAAUCGACCUAACGACAGGUUGCAUUUACUUAAAUUCUAAAGAAAAAAUAAUUGAAAGAAACGUUUCCCAACAACGUACAUAUGUUCGUAUUAUCUGAUCCCGCCUCUGGUGUGUCCAGGGGUCCGUGUUUGCCCAACUAUCUAUUUUGUAUUGUUUAUAGGAGUUAUGAGAUCACUGUCUGUUAUCUUCACCUUUCUUGUACUUCUCAAGAACUAAUGUAAUGCUGACUAAAAUAUGCUGUGACUUUCUUUGUAGUCUUUGAUGAUCAGGUCUUCGAACAGUCUGUUGGAACACCCAUGGGCAUACAUUGUGCUCCUUAAUUAGCUAACCUCAUUCCAUACUUUGUUGAGGCAGAAUCUAUUUAAAACCUUCUAGAUGCGAAUACAAAAUAUCUUGCUGUGGACUUUAUUUCGAUAUAUCAACUACGCUCUAUCUACUAACAAUGAUCAUUUCUUUCAUAUGUUCAUACGAUAUGUCCCAGAAACUCGAAAUAAAAGACGGGGUCUUCCACGUCCUAUUCGUACUUAGAUUGAACUUGCCUGUAAAUAUCAACAACAAACUAAGAGCCUAACUUUAUGACAAACAGGAUGACUUCAGCUGCUCUGUCAUUAAGUUCCUAUAUCUAUAUACAUGUGACAAUAUUUCACUCCAUAAACUGCAUAUUGUA